rnacentral:rRNA from 1 species
CGACGCCGCCGACGGUAACGACCGGCGGCCGAGUGGUGAUCGUGAUUAUUGGGUCUAAAGGGUCCGUAGCCGGUUUGGUCAGUCCUCCGGGAAAUCUGAUAGCUCAACUAUUAGGCUUUCGGGGGAUACUGCCAGACUUGGAACCGGGAGAGGUAAGAGGUACUACAGGGGUAGGAGUGAAAUCUUGUAAUCCCUGUGGGACCACCUGUGGCGAAGGCGUCUUACCAGAACGGGUUCGACGGUGAGGGACGAAAGCUGGGGGCACGAACCGGAUUAGAUACCCGGGUAGUCCCAGCCGUAAACGAUGCUCGCUAGGUGUCAGGCAUGGCGCGACCGUGUCUGGUGCCGCAGGGAAGCCGUGAAGCGAGCCACCUGGGAAGUACGGCCGCAAGGCUGAAACUUAAAGGAAUCGGCGGGGGAGCACAACAACGGGUGGAGCCUGCGGUUUAAUUGGACUCAACGCCGGACAACUCACCGGGGGCGACAGCAAUAUGUAGGCCAAGCUGAAGACUUUGCCUGAAUCGCUGAGAAGAGGUGCAUGG